GGAAUCGACCAUAAAACCAUUUGAUGAUUGUAAAGUGUACACGUCUGCCUGGUAAGGUACAUCUGACAUUGACCUCAUUUUCAUGGUUCUUUUAUCAAUGCUAAGUUUUCCUCGUUAAGGUUGUUCUUUUAAAAAUACUACAUUCAUCAGGAGUGGAAUUACAUACAUUUGUAUGGAACAACGUUCAGGACCACGUGAAAAACUUCGACUCAUCUGAAAUUUCGAGUUAACCGAGUUCGAGACAACGAGAGUUAACUGUAUAUACAAAAGGACAUCUAUAUUUAAAGCAUAUUUGGUGUAUUGAAUGAUUGCAAGCUGGAC
rnacentral:lncRNA from 1 species